ensembl:snRNA U6 U6 spliceosomal RNA
GUGCUUCCUUCCGCAGCACAUAUACUAAAAUUGUAAUGAUACAGAGAAGAUUAGCAUGGCUUCUGUGCAAGGAUGACACGCAAUUUCGUGAAUUCUUCCAUAUUUUU